AACAAAUAAAACUUUGAAACUUGAAACUUGACAUGCCAAAUGAGAGGUCGCUCUCUUCUCCCCAAUAAUGGUUGUGACACCAGGCUGCCCAGUGAGCCUUCUGAUCCCUAUUAAGCUAUGCUUCAUAACUGUAGCGAGGAUUCUUACUUAUUUCAUUCUUGUUAGUGAUAUUUACAUUGACUUUUGCUUUACUGUAAUCCAAAGAUCCACUCUGAGAGUCUUGGAUGGCGUUUGGAAUCAGUCCUAAGAAGUGAUUUUCAUCACCACAAGAAACCCUGGCCACAAAUAGAGAUUAUACCUGUGUUCAGAUGUGUGUUUAUUGUCUGAAAACAAAACCUCAAAAUAAAAAGAUUAGACUGUUGCUAGAUUACCAAUCAUGUAUCCAAUCUAAUUUUAUUAGACCACUACCCCAUUAUGACUACAAUUACACGUUGGUGAUAGCAGAUUUGUUCUUAUGGUGGACUGAAAAUUUUUCUUGCAGUAUAAACACAGCCAAGAAUAUUGCUCCAUCGCUGGGGAAAUGCACCCCAGCCAGUGGGUGUGAUGCUGUCUGUUAGUAUCAGAGCAGAAACAGCAAACUUCACCCCGGUGAACAGGUGCAGCUCAGACCCUGAGGGGAAGAUCUGCAAGAGGUCUAGUGUCCUAUUCUAGGCUCAAAAGAAAACUCCUCGUUUGCUCAAGGACUGCCCAGCUGGGCAACAGCUUCUGCCUCCAGGCUGUUAGACUUGCACCCCUCCACACACAUCAUCCUAGGAUGCAAAUAACAGCGCUCCACCCCCCAUAGAUUGAUGACUCACAAUCAUAGUACUGCAUUGUCACUUUUACAUUUAAAAUUUUAAAUUCACUUUUAUUCAUUCUUUUCAGGUUCACACAACCUUUACUGCUUUGUCACUUUGUACUUAAUUUCAAUCUAAAGUUUUAGGUAUGGACUUUUUAUGUUUUCUGUAAUGUCUUACUACCAUGUUAUGCUAUGCUAGUGUCAUGUUAAAUGUUUUUCAUGCUGGAGUAUAUUGUAUAUGGCUGUGAUGACUACUUGACUUUAUUACUGGGUUCCCUAGAUCUCCUCUCUAUUCCCUAGUUUUCCUUUCUUUGAACUAAAG